rnacentral:lncRNA from 1 species
GCAACACUGAAACCAUGGCAGAGAUUCUCGUUGAAGGGAAGCCAGGAGCCUCUAUAGAGCUCCACAAGCAAAGGGACGAUGGUGGCUGCAGGGCGGGUGGGGAAGAGCACAGGCACCGAAAGCUCUCAGAGGUCACCCAAGCGAAGAAGCGGCACUGACCGCAGCCCCCCACAUGCUGGUGACCGCUGACAGCGACGGCUUCAGAGAUGGACAGUGUAUGAAUAACAGGGAAAUAAAUAAUGAUGACCAUU